UAGUGGUUAGAGCGUAGAGGUGGCAGGUAGCCUAGUGGUUAGAGUGUAGAGGCGGCAGGUAGCCUAGUGGUUAGAGUGUAGAGGCGGCAGGUAGUCUAGUGGUUAGAGUGUAGAGGUGGCAGGUAGCCUAGUGGUUAGAGUGUAGAGGUGGCAGGUAGCCUAGUGGUUAGAGUGUAGAGGAGGCAGGUAGCCUAGUGGUUAGAGCGUAGAGGCGGCAGGUAGCCUAGUGGUUAGAGUGUAGAGGAGGCAGGUAGCCUAGUGGUUAGAGUGUAGAGGUGGCAGGUAGCCUAGUGGUUAGAGUGUAGAGGUGGCAGGUAGCCUAGUGGUUAGAGUGUAGAGGUGGCAGGUAGCCUAGUGGUUAGAGUGUAGAGGAGGCAGGUAGCCUAGUGGUUAGAGUGUAGAGGUGGCAGGUAUCCUAGUGGUUAGAGUGUAGAGGUGGCAGGUAGCCUAGUGGUUAGAGUGUAGAGGAGGCAGGUAGCCUAGUGGUUAGAGUGUAGAGGUGGCAGGUAGCCUAGUGGUUAGAGUGUAGAGGUGGCA
ensembl:lncRNA